rnacentral:tRNA from 1 species
GGCUCGUUGGUCUAGGGGUAUGAUUCUCGCUUUGGGUGCAAGAGCUCCCGGGUUCAAAUCCUGGACGAGCCC